rnacentral:rRNA from 1 species
GGGUUGUGAGGUUAAGCGACUAAGCGUACACGGUGGAUGCCCUGGCAGUCAGAGGCGAUGAAGGGCGUGCUAAUCUGCGAUAAGCGCCGGUAAGGUGAUAUGAACCGUUAUAACCGGCGAUACCCGAAUGGGGAAACCCAGUGUGAUUCGUCACACUAUCAUUAACUGAAUCCAUAGGUUAAUGAGGCGAACCGGGGGAACUGAAACAUCUAAGUACCCCGAGGAAAAGAAAUCAACCGAGAUUCCCCCAGUAGCGGCGAGCGAACGGGGAGGAGCCCAGAGCCUGAAUCAGCAUGUGUGUUAGUGGAAGCGUCUGGAAAGGCGCGCGAUACAGGGUGACAGCCCCGUACACAAAAGCGCAUGUGCUGUGAGCUCGAUGAGUAGGGCGGGACACGUGGUAUCCUGUCUGAAUAUGGGGGGACCAUCCUCCAAGGCUAAAUACUCCUGACUGACCGAUAGUGAACCAGUACCGUGAGGGAAAGGCGAAAAGAACCCCGGCGAGGGGAGUGAAAAAGAACCUGAAACCGUGUACGUACAAGCAGUGGGAGCACCCUUUGGGGUGUGACUGCGUACCUUUUGUAUAAUGGGUCAGCGACUUAUAUUCUGUAGCAAGGUUAACCGUAUAGGGGAGCCGGAGGGAAACCGAGUCUUAACCGGGCGUUAAGUUGCAGGGUAUAGACCCGAAACCCGGUGAUCUAGCCAUGGGCAGGUUGAAGGUUGGGUAACACUAACUGGAGGACCGAACCGACUAAUGUUGAAAAAUUAGCGGAUGACCUGUGGCUGGGGGUGAAAGGCCAAUCAAACCGGGAGAUAGCUGGUUCUCCCCGAAAGCUAUUUAGGUAGCGCCUCGUGAAUUCAUCUCCGGGGGUAGAGCACUGUUUCGGCUAGGGGGCCAUCCCGGCUUACCAACCCGAUGCAAACUGCGAAUACCGGAGAAUGUUAUCACGGGAGACACACGGCGGGUGCUAACGUCCGUCGUGAAGAGGGAAACAACCCAGACCGCCAGCUAAGGUCCCAAAGUCAUGGUUAAGUGGGAAACGAUGUGGGAAGGCCCAGACAGCCAGGAUGUUGGCUUAGAAGCAGCCAUCAUUUAAAGAAAGCGUAAUAGCUCACUGGUCGAGUCGGCCUGCGCGGAAGAUGUAACGGGGCUAAACCAUGCACCGAAGCUGCGGCAGCGACACUCAGGUGUUGUUGGGUAGGGGAGCGUUCUGUAAGCCUGCGAAGGUGGCCUGUGAGGGUUGCUGGAGGUAUCAGAAGUGCGAAUGCUGACAUAAGUAACGAUAAAGCGGGUGAAAAGCCCGCUCGCCGGAAGACCAAGGGUUCCUGUCCAACGUUAAUCGGGGCAGGGUGAGUCGACCCCUAAGGCGAGGCCGAAAGGCGUAGUCGAUGGGAAACGGGUUAAUAUUCCCGUACUUGGUGUUACUGCGAAGGGGGGACGGAGAAGGCUAUGUUGGCCGGGCGACGGUUGUCCCGGUUUAAGCGUGUAGGUGUGUGUUCCAGGUAAAUCCGGUUCACUUUAACACUGAGGCGUGACGACGAGGCACUACGGUGCUGAAGCAACAAAUGCCCUGCUUCCAGGAAAAGCCUCUAAGCAUCAGGUAACAUCAAAUCGUACCCCAAACCGACACAGGUGGUCAGGUAGAGAAUACCAAGGCGCUUGAGAGAACUCGGGUGAAGGAACUAGGCAAAAUGGUGCCGUAACU